CAGUGCCGUUACAGGACUCAAAAAUGUUCAAUGAACCUUUUUUCCCAGCAGACCUUUUUGAAUUGUCAUAGCAGGAAAAGUACAGCUGAAAUUGAUAACCUUAACAAUGGCUCAAUUCCAUUAAGUUUCCCAGUAAGCUAUUUCAGUGAGUCAACAUGCACAAUACCAGUGCCUUUCCUAAGUGCAAUGCAGCCAUCAUUAAUGGUUUUGAAUACACCUGUGCUUUUCC